rnacentral:rRNA from 1 species
UACGUAGGGGGCAAGCGUUGUUCGGAUUCAUUGGGCGUAAAGGGUGCGUAGGCGGCGCGGUAAGUCGGGUGUGAAAUCUCGGAGCUUAACUCCGAAACUGCAUUCGAUACUGGCGUGCUUGAGGACUGGAGAGGAGACUGGAAUUCAUGGUGUAGCAGUGAAAUGCGUAGAGAUCAUGAGGAAGACCAGUGGCGAAGGCGGGUCUCUGGACAGUUCCUGACACUGAGACACGAAGGCCAGGGGAGCAAACGGG